AGUGCAGCAAUGCACUUAGCGGCGGACGGGUGAGUAACACGUGGGUAACCUGCCCUAUGCAGGGGGAUAGCCACUCGAAAGGGUGAUUAAUACCGCAUAACUCAGAUUGGUCGCAUGACCAAUCUGGGAAAGGAGUCAGCUCCGCAAGGAGCUGCAUCCGGCAUAGGAUGGACCCGCGUCCCAUUAGCUAGUUGGUGAGUAUAACAGCCCACCAAGGAGAAGAUGGGUAGCCGACCUGAGAGGGUGAUCGGCCACAUUGAUCCGAGACACGUGAAGAACUCUACGUGAGUCAGUAGUGGGGCUU
rnacentral:sRNA from 1 species